AUGGCAGGUGCGUCGAGCGGGAUCAGUGCAGAGACGGCGCGCGGUGCCCACGUCGUCAUGGCCGUUCGCAACCUCGCCGCCGCAGAGGCUGUUCGCCAGGCCGUCCUCGUCGAGACCCCCGGCGCGAGCGUGGAGGUGAUGGAGCUGGACCUCUCCUCGUUGGCAUCUGUCCGCAAGUUCGCACCGACUUCGCCGCCAGUGGCCUCCCGCUCAACAUCCUCAUGUAAGGCAGCCCUACUUCUCGCUUCUACUAGUCCCAAUCAUGCGAAAAGCACUUGA
rnacentral:rRNA from 1 species